GACCGGCGCACGGGUGAGUAACGCGUAUGCAACCUACCUUAUACAGGGGAAUAGCCCGAAGAAAUUCGGAUUAAUGCUCCAUGGUUUAUCGAUAUGGCAUCGUAUUGAUAAUAAAGAUUUAUCGGUAUAAGAUGGGCAUGCGUAUCAUUAGCUAGUUGGUGUGGUAACGGCAUACCAAGGCAACGAUGAUUAGGGGUCCUGAGAGGGAGAUCCCCCACACUGGUACUGAGACACGGACCAGACUCCUACGGGAGGCAGCAGUGAGGAAUAUUGGUCAAUGGAGGCAACUCUGAACCAGCCAUGCCGCGUGCAGGAUGACGGUCCUAUGGAUUGUAAACUGCUUUUGUACAGGAAGAAACCUCCCUACGAGUAGGGACUUGACGGUACUGUAAGAAUAAGGAUCGGCUAACUCCGUGCCAGCAGCCGCGGUAAUACGGAGGAUCCGAGCGUUAUCCGGAAUUAUUGGGUUUAAAGGGUUCGUAGGCGGUCAGAUAAGUCAGUGGUGAAAUUUCUUAGCUUAACUAAGACACGGCCAUUGAUACUGUUUGACUUGAAUAGUAUGGAAGUAACUAGAAUAUGUAGUGUAGCGGUGAAAUGCUUAGAUAUUACAUGGAAUACCAAUUGCGAAGGCAGGUUACUACGUAUUUAUUGACGCUGAUGAACGAAAGCGUGGGGAGCGAACAGGAUUAGAUACCCUGGUAGUCCACGCCGUAAACGAUGGAUACUAGCUGUUCGGUUUUCGGACUGAGUGGCUAAGCGAAAGUGAUAAGUAUCCCACCUGGGGAGUACGUUCGCAAGAAUGAAACUCAAAGGAAUUGACGGGGGCCCGCACAAGCGGUGGAGCAUGUGGUUUAAUUCGAUGAUACGCGAGGAACCUUACCAGGGCUUAAAUGUAGAUUGACAGAUUUGGAAACAGAUUUUUCUUCGGACAAUUUACAAGGUGCUGCAUGGUUGUCGUCAGCUCGUGCCGUGAGGUGUCAGGUUAAGUCCUAUAACGAGCGCAACCCCUAUUGUUAGUUACCAGCGCGUAGUGGCGGGGACUCUAGCAAGACUGCCGGUGCAAACCGUGAGGAAGGUGGGGAUGACGUCAAAUCAUCACGGCCCUUACGUCCUGGGCUACACACGUGCUACAAUGGCAAGUACAGAAAGCAGCUACCUGGCAACAGGAUGCGAAUCUCCAAAGCUUGUCUCAGUUCGGAUUGGAGUCUGCAACUCGACUCUAUGAAGCUGGAAUCGCUAGUAAUCGGAUAUCAGCCAUGAUCCGGUGAAUACGUUCCCGGGCCUUGUACACACCGCCCGUCAAGCCAUGGAAGCUGGGGGUACCUGAAGUCGGUGACCGCAAGGAGCUGCCUAGGGUAAAA
rnacentral:rRNA from 1 species